rnacentral:lncRNA from 1 species
AUUAUUAUGAGGAGACUGGAGUCAAUAUAUGUAUAAGCUACAACGUAAAGGCUUUAAAAGGACUUAAAAACCAUGAAUUAUUCAAUUAUUCAUAAAUAUAUAAUUUGUACAAUUGUGGUCAGAAUUGUUGGUAUAUACUUUUUUUUUUCUUUUUUUUUUUCUUAAUGAAUAUACUUUAAUGACAUUUUAGUCAUACAAACUCCUAAGGGUACUAUUAUUUGUAGCCAACAUGUAUAAGAGAAAAAAACAUUUAUUUCGUAAUGAGCCCCCCAUUUUAAAUUAUUAUUCUUGAACGAAAGGUUAGAUUUUUUUAAAUAAAAUAUGGUUUAACAAUAAAGAAUUAUAUUCAGCAGCCUUUUUUUUUUUUAAUCAUGUUUGUCAAGGGUUCCAACAAUUCUCACCAUGACUGUAUGUGUAUUUCUUACAUCAGUCAAAAUAAAUGAAUACAUGAAUAAAACACUGCUAGAAUGAUGCCCUUGUUACAACUUCCCCAUGUGAGAACUGGCCCCAGUCUCCUUUAUGUAUUGCUGUCUCCAGGGCAUCAUUUUGGAGGACAUAGAGAAGACAUCCAUCUCAUACAAAAGGAUUUAACGAUCACAGCAGACUGUGCAUUCCCCUGAAUGCAGGUUUGGCAUAAUGUCACUCAAUGGUCUGCCACAAAAGGGCAUGUUUGAAGCCAGGGUCUCUGGAGAGAGAAAACCGCUCAUUUCCAACACAAUGGCUCUGCUUUCAGUCCCUGAAAUUUGGAUUCUUAUCUCUGCAUUGGCCCAAUGAAAGCACAACAGGAUAAUUUAAUUGGGGAGUUUAAUUAAAUGUCUGGGUCAAUUGCAUCAUGAGUUGAAUACUGACCAAAGGCCAGAGGGGACUAAUAAAUGCCAAUUUGCCUCAUAUUCCCUGUCUUUAGGUGCUACUAACUUCCUCCGGGGGCAGAGACAUGCUUUGAAUGCCUUCUAAAUCAGGAUUAAUGGAUUGUGACACUGGGGCAUUGGGCUGGCGAGUGAAAUUGUUACUGAUGAUUUUGUCACAAAGUAAAAAAUGGCCUUCAGAAGGAAAUUACCCAUGCUUGAGGGAGUUCCUCUUGCACAUCUGCAUUUCCUCCAAAUUGUUUCUAAAGAUGGGAUACCUGAGCACUUGUGAACAUUCACUUUACAUCCUGUGGUCCUGCUGAGGUGAGGACGCUGACCUCCAUUCUGCUGCUAAUCAGGUGCUGGUUAAAGAUUUGUUAAGGAGUGAGCUGUGAGGUUCAGGCAGUGAGCUAUCAGGGAGCUUCAAAGGAAACUGCUCACAUGUUCUCCAAAGUUAGUGGAAUGAUGGUUGAGCUGCAGCCUCAUGAAUUGCAAAAGCAAAGUACAAAACCCCUUCAGAAUCUUCUGAAUCUCUGCUUUGAAUUCACUUGGAGAAACACCCCACCAUCCCAUUUCAUUUUGAGAACAAUCAGUCGUGCUGUGCUCUGACACUGUGACUCGUUUAGCAUAGUUUUAAAGGCUUUUAAUGGCAAUUGUUUUUAAUUAAUGUUGUAAGUCAGUUCAACCCACUCUAAUAUAUCAAGCACCAGAAAUAUUACCCUCUGAUGCUGAUGAAUUAUCUCUUUCAUAAUGAAACCUGAGGAUUUUUUCCUCAUCUAGUCAUAGAAAAAGUUGCACUAAAAGUGUUUUACAUUACGGUUUGUAUGUCGUUCUCUCUCUCUCUCUGUACAUAUAUCUCUCUCUAUACACACACACACACACACACAUACACACGUUUGUUUUUGUUAAAAGUGGGGACAUCCCAUAGGCAUAAUGGUUUUUAUACUGUACAAACUGUAUAUUAUAUGGCCCUACACCAACCAUACACCUAACCCUAACCCUCACAGGAAACUUUGUGCAUUUUUUUCUUUCUAAAAAAAAAAAAAAAAAAAAAAAAAAACUCAUUCUGUUUGGUUUAUAA